UUUUCCCUUUUUGAAUCAGUUUUAAAGCCCUUGAACUAAACUUUUGUCAAAAUGCUUUCUUAUAUUCUGUUCAUUGCUUAAUAUUGUUAGGUCCCUGAACACUCUUAUUCCCUUGAUGAAGAGGGUAUUUGCAAGCAUGCCUUUGAGUUGAUUUUUGUGUUUGAUGAAGUAAUCUCUCUUGGGCACAAGGAAAAUGUUACCGUUUCACUAGUUAAGCAAUACUGUGAGAUGGAAAGUCAGGAAGAGAAGCUGCACAAGCUUGUUAUGCAGAGCAAGGUCAAUGAAACUAAGGAUCUUAUGAAGCCGAAAGCAAGUGAGAUUGAUAAGAGCAAGAUUGAAAAGAAUAGAGGUGAUAAAGGAGGCUUUGGUCCGUUGACGUCAAUGGGAUCUGGAAGAAUUGAAAAUAGCUUCAGUGAUUUGAGCAUAAGUAGCACUGGAACUGGUUUUGGAAGCGGCUCUGGUUUUGGAUUGAAUACUGAUGCUGACUCUUUUUCUGUCAAGCCUAAAGGUCGUCCAACUGCAUCUGCUACUGCUCCGUCAAAGGGUCUUGGUAUGAAGCUGGGUAAAUCUCAAAAGACAAAUCAGUUCUUGGAAUCAUUGAAAGCAGAAGGUGAGGUCAUUCUUGUAGAUGUUCAGCCAAAACUUGGCCAGUCUCGGACAGCUGCCCCACCACUUACCGAUCCUGUGACUUUAUCGGUUGAAGAAAAAUUAAACGUCACUGAAACGAGAUGGUGGAGUUAGUAAUUUUGAUGUUCAAGGACAAUUGUCUCUCCAAAUUCUUAACCAAGAAGAUGCACAUAUUCAAGUUCAGGUGCGGCGCUAAACAAUCUGGGACAUUGGGUUCAUCUUCUGAUGAAGCCCUUGAUGGAAUCAUUGGUUUUGGACAAUCAAAUUCUUCUGUGCUUUCACAGCUUGCUGCAUCUGGAAAGGUGAAAAGAAUAUUUUCGCACUGCCUUGAUAGUAUCAAUGGAGGAGGAACAUUUUCCAUAGGGGAAGUGGUGGAGCCAAAAUUUAACACUACUCCAUUGGUACCAAAUAUGUAUGUGCAGAAUCUUAGUUUUUUAUUCCCUUUCUAUGUUAUCCGUAGCCAGUGUAUUCGAUUUGUUCCGUUGUUUGACGAAUCAGUUUGAUAUGCAUUUGAUGAUAAUACUACUGCCAUUUACCCCCAGACAUUCCAAAUAUGUUAGGUUUUCCUGGUUUUCGUCACUUAUUUUAUCAAGGACUUAUAUUGACUCUGAAAUUUCAGCUCUUUUUUCAAGUAUUUGUAUGUAUGAUAGAUCUUUUGUUAUCUGUUGUCCACUUGAACGGCCAACGAAUCACAUACACGGCUCAAUAUAGUCAUCCUUUGAAUCACAUACCGGAGGUGCAGGCUAUGAAAUGGAGCAUAAG